AUGGCCAGGGAGAAGGUGCUGUCAUGCUACCUGACUUUCAGAGAGCAGGGGAAGGCCGGGCAGGCCCCAGCCCUAGUCAACCACGAGGGUCUCUUGGCUGUAGGGGAUGGACUUCUCGUGCAUCUGCUCUGCACCCUUCCCCGAGUUGGGGCCGGGCCCCUGGCUGUGGCCGGAGGAGUAGCUGGCCGACUUCUCCCCGCUGCUGCUGUGGGAGGCCGCGCCGCACCUGCUCCGGCCGCAGCAGAGCAUGGACGCGCAGGCCUGGCGGAAGCGCGGGUCGAAGAAGGCGUAGAGGAAGGGGUUGAGGCAGCUGUUGACGUAGCUGAUGCAGGUGCAGUAGGGGAAGACGUUCAUGAGGAAGAUGUCCAGGUCGCAGGGCCAGUGCAGCAGGCCGCCCAGCAUGUAGAGCGUCUUCACCAGGUGGUAGGGCAUCCAGCAGAGCGCGAAGGUCACCACCAGCACCACGAUGAUGCUGAGCAGCCGCCGCCGCUUCCGCAGGCCCUCGAUGCGCUCCUUGCGGAAGUGGCCGGCGAUGGUUUGGGCGAUGAAGAAGUAGCAGGUGAGCAUGACGGUGAAGGGCACCACGAAGCCCACGGCGGUGGACGACACCCCCAGGCCCACCUCCCAGGCCCACUCGGAGCUGGCGGCGGCCACCAUGGAGUAGUCCAUGUAGCACUGCACCUUGGUGCUGUUCUCCAGGUCCCCGGUGGAGCGGAACACCAUGACCGGCAGGGCCAGCAGGGCGGCGAGCACCCACAGCACCGCCGUGGCCACGGCCCCGCUGACCCGCAGCCUCAGGCGAGCGUUGGCCACGGGCCUCACGAUGGCCAGGUAGCGGUCGAAGCUGAGCCCGGUGAGGCAGAAGACGCUGGCGUACAUGUUGACGAAGAUCACGUAGCUGCUGAGCUUGCAGGCGAAGGUGCCGAAGGGCCAGUCAUAGCCCCGGUACGUGUAGGUGGCCCAGAGCGGCAGGGGGACCCCCGCUCCCACCAGACUGUCAGUGCCUUGAGGCCAGGUACCAAGUCCUUUACACCCUCAGUGCCUAGCAGAGUAUACGGCACAGAGCAGAUGCCCCAUAAAUACCUGUUGAAAACGAUGAAUAUCACCUCCUCUCAACAGCCUCACUUAACAUGCCUCUCCCGCUGAGAUCCAGGCUCCCUUUCUUCUCUUUGUUCCCAUGACAGGUUUUAUUUUAUCUCAGCACAUUUUACGCUGAGCCGUUCUAGUUAUAUCUGUCAUCGUCUCUCGACUCUGAGCCUUUGGAGCUAAGGCUCAAGUCCUAUUCAUGUUUCUACCCCAGGAGCCCAGCCCACAAGCUGGUACAGAGUGAGCAACCCAUUGUGAACCCAGAACAAGAGUGGAGAGUGGACAUGCAUCCUGGUGGUGAGAUUUCCCCCCCUCCCCUGCCCCCAAUAGGAUUCAGAUAGCCA
rnacentral:lncRNA from 1 species